rnacentral:rRNA from 1 species
UGGCGGCAUGGAUUAGGCGUGCAAGUCGAACGGAGACCCCCUGCUUCGGCGGGGCGAUCAGUGGCGAAAGGGUGAGUAACACGUGAGCAACCUGCCCCCGAGUUCGGAAUAGCCCCGGGAAACCGGGAUUAAUACCGAAUGUGGUGCAACCGCCUCCUGUCGGUUGUCCCAAAGGUCCGCCGCUCGGGGAUGGGCUCGCGUCCCAUUAGCUUGUUGGUGAGGUAACGGCUCACCAAGGCUGUGACGGGUAGCUGGUCUGAGAGGAUGGUCAGCCACACUGGGACUGAGACACUGCCCAGACUCCUACGGGAGGCUGCAGUCGAGAAUCAUCCGCAAUGGGCGAAAGCCUGACGGUGCGAUGCCGCGUGAGGGAUGAAGGCCUUCGGGUUGUAAACCCCUGUCAGGAGGGACGAAGAAUGUGACGGUACCUCCAGAGGAAGCCAUGGCUAACUACGUGCCAGCAGCCGCGGUAAUACGUAGAUGGCGAGCGUUAUUCGGAUUUACUGGGCGUAAAGGGUCCGCAGGGGGUUUGCCGAGUCUGAUGUGAAAUCCCGAGGCUCAACCUCGGAACUGCAUUGGAUACUGGUGAACUAGAGUGCACGAGGGGUGAGCGGAAUUCCUGGUGUAGCGGUGGAAUGCGUAGAUAUCAGGAAGAACACCGAUGGCGAAGGCGGCUCACUGGCGUGCUACUGACCCUCAUGGACGAAAGCGUGGGUAGCGAACAGGAUUAGAUACCCUGGUAGUCCACGCUGUAAACGUUGUGCACUAGAUGUGGGCGGUUUUGAUCCCGCCCGUGUCCAAGCUAACGCGUUAAGUGCACCGCCUGGGGACUACGGCCGCAAGGCUAAAACUCAAAGGAAUUGACGGGGGCCCGCACAAGCGGUGGAGCAUGUGGCUCAAUUCGAGGCAACGCGAAGAACCUUACCUGGGCUUGACAUACACCGGACCGCCCUCUGAAAGGAGGGCUUCCCUUCGGGGCCUGUGUACAGAUGCUGCAUGGCUGUCGUCAGCUCGUGUCGUGAGAUGUUCGGUUAAGUCCGGCAACGAGCGCAACCCGUGUCGUCAGUUGCCAUCAGGUUAUGCUGGGCACUCUGGCGAGACUGCCCGUGUCAAGCGGGAGGAAGGCGCGGAUGACGUCAAGUCAGUAUGGCUCUUACGCCCAGGGCUGCACACGUGCUACAAUGGACGGUACAAUGGGAUGCGAGACCGCGAGGUGGAGCAAAUCCGCAAAAACCGUCCCCAGUUCGGAUUGGAGUCUGCAACUCGACUCCAUGAAGUCGGAAUCGCUAGUAAAGGGGUAUCAGCUACGGCCCCUUGAAUACGUUCCCGGGCCUUGUACACACCGCCCGUCACAUCAUGGAAGCCGGCUGCACCCGAAGUCAUUGACCGAACCCUCACGGGGCGGAAAUGCCGAAGGUGUGUCCGGUGACUGUGAUGAAGUCGAAACAAGGUA